GUGGGGAAUAUUCCGCAAUGGGCGCAAGCCUGACGGAGCAACGCCGCGUGAAUGAAGACGGUCUUCGGAUUGUAAAGUUCUGUCAUUAGGGACGAAGGACUCAUGUAAAUAAUAUGAGGAAUGACGGUACCUAAGGAGGAAGCUCCGGCUAACUACGUGCCAGCAGCCGCGGUAAUACGUAGGGAGCAAGCGUUGUCCGGAAUUACUGGGCGUAAAGGGCGCGUAGGCGGAUAAUUAAGUCAGAUGUGAAAUCUCCAGGCUUAACUUGGAGCGUGCAUUUGAAACUGGUUAUCUUGAGGGCAGGAGAGGAAAGUGGAAUUCCUAGUGUAGCGGUGAAAUGCGUAGAUAUUAGGAGGAACACCAGUGGCGAAGGCGACUUUCUGGACUGAACCUGACGCUGAGGCGCGAAAGCAUGGGGAGCGAACGGGAUUAGAAACCCCUGUAGUCC
rnacentral:rRNA from 1 species